rnacentral:rRNA from 1 species
UACGUAGGGGGCAAGCGUUAAUCGGAAUUACUGGGCGUCAAGCGUGCGCAGGCGGGCUUGCAAGACAGGUGUGAAAUCCCCGGGCUUAACCUGGGAACUGCACUUGUGACUGCAAGGCUGGAGUACGGCAGAGGGGGAUGGAAUUCCGCGUGUAGCAGUGAAAUGCGUAGAUAUGCGGAGGAACACCGAUGGCGAAGGCAAUCCCCUGGGCCUGUACUGACGCUCAUGCACGAAAGCGUGGGGAGCAAACAGG